rnacentral:rRNA from 1 species
UACGAAGGGGGCUAGCGUUGCUCGGAAUUACUGGGCGUAAAGGGCGCGUAGGCGGACAGUUAAGUCAGAGGUGAAAGCCCAGGGCUCAACCCUGGAAUUGCCUUUGAUACUGGCUGUCUUGAGUGCGGGAGAGGUGUGUGGAACUCCGAGUGUAGAGGUGAAAUUCGUAGAUAUUGGGAAGAACACCGGUGGCGAAGGCGGCGACCUGGUCCUUUUACUGACGCUGAGGCGCGAAAGCGUGGGGAGCAAACAGG